rnacentral:rRNA from 1 species
CGAGACUCAGUGAAAUUGAACUCGCUGUGAAGAUGCAGUGUACCCGCGGCAAGACGGAAAGACCCCGUGAACCUUUACUAUAGCUUGACACUGAACAUUGAGCCUUGAUGUGUAGGAUAGGUGGGAGGCUUUGAAGUGUGGACGCCAGUCUGCAUGGAGCCGGCCUUGAAAUACCACCCUUUAAUGUUUGAUGUUCUAACGUUGACCCGUGAUCCGGGUUGCGGACAGUGUCUGGUGGGUAGUUUGACUGGGGCGGUCUCCUCCUAAAGAGUAACGGAGGAGCACGAAGGUUGGCUAAUCCUGGUCGGACAUCAGGAGGUUAGUGCAAUGGCAUAAGCCAGCUUGACUGCGAGCGUGACGGCGCGAGCAGGUGCGAAAGCAGGUCAUAGUGAUCCGGUGGUUCUGAAUGGAAGGGCCAUCGCUCAACGGAUAAAAGGUACUCCGGGGAUAACAGGCUGAUACCGCCCAAGAGUUCAUAUCGACGGCGGUGUUUGGCACCUCGAUGUCGGCUCAUCACAUCCUGGGGCUGAAGUAGGUCCCAAGGGUAUGGCUGUUCGCCAUUUAAAGUGGUACGCGAGCUGGGUUUAGAACGUCGUGAGACAGUUCGGUCCCUAUCUGCCGUGGGCGCUGGAGAACUGAGGGGGGCUGCUCCUAGUACGAGAGGACCGGAGUGGACGCAUCA